rnacentral:lncRNA from 1 species
AUUACGGGUGUAGGGUUUAGGAUUAAGGAUUUAGAGUUUAUGGUUUAGGAUUAAGGGUUUAGGAUUUUCCCAAGAGUUCAGGGUUUAUGGUUUAGCGUUCAGUGUUUAGAAUUUAGGGUUUAGGAUUUAGUAUUAGGGUUUAGGAUUAAGGGUUUCGGAUUUAGGGUUUGGUUUAGGGUUUAAAAUUAAGGGUUUUGGAUUUGCCAAGGGUUCAAGGUUUAUCCAAAGAUUUAGGGUCUAGUGUUUAGAGUUUAAGGUUUAGAGUUUAAUAUUUUACUAAUAGGUAUAACAAUACUAAAAAAUAUUUUUAUGGUAAUUACUAUUAAUUUUUUUAUUUUAAAAACAUAAAAUAAUUUCACAAAUUUUUUAUUAUUUGGUUUCCUUUUUUAAAAGAUAUUAAAUCUAAAAUAACUCAAUCCUAUUGGUUGGGUGAACCUCUAGACACACCUAGGAGUGAACCUAAGAAUCUAUACUAUUAAAAUAGAAAUACAAAUAAGAAUUAACUCUUAAACUUACAGCUAUGCCACUGAAGUAAUUAAUAACCCUAAAGUAUUUAUUGUAUUUUCCUUAUUUAGUUAAAAUUAAAAUACUAUAAUUCCUAUAAUCAAUUAGCUAACCAACUAAUUUACCAUAUUUUGAUAUUCUAUGCAAUCAAUUAUUUAAUCUUUAAUUUCUAUUUUUGUUAUUGCAUUUAUGUUGUAAGUAAAAAAAUACUCCUACUUGUGAUUGAAAGAUACUGACAAACACAUGCGUUCUCUUUAUUUAAGUCCAGUAUAACAAUAUAAAAUGCUAGAUUAAACAAAAAAUCUGAAUUUCACAUCUUCUCUUUGCAGACGAUAGUCUAUUAUUCUGCAAAACGAAUCCAGCAAUGUGCUGAGUUGAUGAGGAUCAUAACAGUGAAUGGGAAGGCUUCGGGACAGCAAUUAAACCCUGAUAAAUCAUCUAUCUUGUGUGGUAGUAAAGUCGGCUAGAGAUAAAAAGAGCUCAAGCAAACGCUGGGUAUCCAAAAGUGAUGCAUGCUUGAGUGGCGCACCGGGCAAAAUAGACAUGCAUGGCUUGAUCAUGGAAAGCAGUAAUGAUAUAUGUUCAUUGUUUGAUUCAUACCUUCCAAAACACGAGUUCUCUACGCAUGAAAUCACUUUGAGAAUUUUCUCAACUCAAUUACGGAGCUCCUCGAAGAAGAAUCAGAUCAAACGGAGUUCAGAUGUGGGAGUUAUGCAAUUUUAAAAUCAGUAGACUUUCAGUUCUUGCGAAUUUGGGCCGUACGGAUUGUCCAGUCCACAUCUUGAUCCUUACCGCGAAGGAACCACUUGGUUCAGACGAACCUGGACGUUAGCCGAAGAGUCUCUUUGACCGGAUCUGAGAUCAAAGAGUUUUAAUACAUUGUCUUUAAAUUUUUCAUCUAGAUUCGAUUUACUAAGUUUGUCUUUAAUACAUUCUUAAGUCUUUUUCUAUUCUUCAAGUAGUAUAAAUAUGUAAACUCUUUUAUGAAUAAAUGCAGUCUAAGUUUGAGUUUAUUUUGGUUUUCUUCUUUUCUCUGAGUGAGAGAGAGAGAGAGAGAGAGUUCUUUAGCUGUUCAUUGGUGUGAACCGGCUUGUUGAUUUGGUGGUCAGCCAAUUCAUUUUUGUGUGUUGUUUGGUGGUUAGCCAACACAAUACAUUCUUUCUUUGGUGGUUAGCCUUUGAUUGUGGGUAUAUCAAGAGCCAUUCUGCAUCUCUUGACAAUCCUUUCAAUCCAUAUCAGUUCCAAAAGUGUCGUUUGCCUUCUCGGAUCAUAUCCAACACCCAGGUAAAGUGAUCCUUCAAUUCAGGUUGUAUCAAGUGGUAUCAGAGCCACUUUGGCUGGUUUGUUUUCAUUUCAUCUUUUCAUCUUCUCAUCUCUCCACAAAUUUCUUUUCUUAUUUCUUGGAUCCGGGCUGUUCCGUUACUCCAUUGUGAUCGCCUAUUAUAAAAACAAAUAAAAAAACGAGAAAAAAAGUUUUUACUUGAAUCACUUCUGAAGAGAAAUCCAGGGGGAGUGGUGGAAGAGAAACCCUGCUGGCUGAAGAGAAACCCAGCCUUAGAACAGUUAAGGCGGAUCCACAUAAAAAUCUUUUCAUCUUUCUUUCUCUCUUUACCCUUAAAAAUUGUUUUGGGUUUUGAUUGCUGAAUUUUGACAGCCUAUCAUCCUUUGAACCAGUAAAAAAAAACUCUGAGUGAUCACCUAAAAAUCGUGAGCUAAACACUUUGAGAGUGUGAGGAUUUUUAUUUGCUAACUCUUUUGUUAAGUGUUUUCAGGAUAUUUGGACUUCACAAGAAAUCAAAUUAGGCUUCAAAACUACAACAAGAUGUUUACUAUCCUUUUAAAACCGUGCUUGAAAAAAAAGCAAUUGAUUUUUGGAGAUAAGAAACAUUUUACUUCUAAUGGGUUUGAUUCUGUACAGAAACAAAGAAACCAAAGAAAGAGACAAAACAGGUUCGAUGAUGAUGAGAAGAGGGUCAGAAAUGGUGGUCGUCCCUUCACCAAGGCCAAGAGAAGCAAUUGUGAUGUGCUUGACCGGAACGAGCUUCAGACUUAUACCAGUUUGGAGAAGAUGUUGCAUAAGGAAAUUUUUGCUAUUCAGCAACUCAAAAGGAAGAGAAAUACCAACACUUCUUCUGCACCAAAACAACAAUGUAAGUUUUCUUCUCUUUCAAAUUCCGAUUUGAAAACUAAUGUGUUUUCUUUUGAUAAAAGCAAAGCUGUGAAACCCACAAGCAAAGCUCAUUCUACCAGGUGCUUCAAAUGCCAUAGGAUCGGUCAUUAUGCUAACAAGUGCCAGAAUCAGAAACCGUUGGUGACUUUGGAGAAUAAGAACGUUGAAACCAAGCCAGAAAAGGAAGAAUUUUCAAACCCAUAGCCAAUUUUCGAUGACUACACACAUGAGCCAAUGGCAGAUUUGAAAUCUUGUGAACAUAAGAACUUAUUUUCUCCUCAAUAUGAAUCAAUACCUGAUGAAUCUUGCUUGCAAUUAACUGUUUUACAACCAGAGAAUCCAAAUAGUUUUGAAUUAAUUUCUCAGUUUGAAAAAGAUUCUGAAAACGUUUUGAACAAGGAAGAUUUUUCUGGUCCUUUGAAUGCUCUUGAUAUUGGUGCAUAUGACCUUGGUCUUGGAAGCUUUGUGUUAAUGCAGGAAGGGCCAGAUGAAGAACAAAACUGUGGUCAUCAAGCAAACAAAGAAAGCUCUUCCUCCAUUCAAAAACCGGACCAAACUCAAGGUGAGCAAUGUUCUGAUUAUGAUCCCUUUGUUAUAACCCUUUUCCUUUUAAUGUUCCAGAUUUGAAGACAAAUCUUUUUGAAGAGCGAGGUAAUGAUGCGUCCUUGAGUAGCGCACCGGGCAAAACAGACAUGCAUGGCUUGAUCAUGGAAAGCAGUAAUGAUAUAUGUUCAUUGUUUGACACAUAUCUUCCAAAAUUCGAGUCCUAUGCGCAUGAAAUCACUUGGAGAAUGUUCUGAAUUCAAUUACGGAGCUCCUCGAAGAAGAAUCAGAUCAAACAGAGUUCAGAUGUGGGAGUUAUGCAAUUUGCAAAUCAGGAGACCUUCAGUUCUCGCGAAUUUGAGCCAUACGGAUCGUCCAACCCACAUCUUGAUCCUUACCGCGAAGGAACCACUUGGUUCAGACGAACCUGGACGUUAGCCGAAGAGUCUUUUUGACUAGAUCUGAGAUCCAAGAGUUUUAAUACAUUGUCUUUAAAUUUUUCAUCUAGAUUCGAUUUACUAAGUUUGUCUUUAAUACAUUCUUAAGUCUUUUUCUAUUACUCAAGUAGUAUAAAUAUGUAAACUCUUUUAUUAAUAAUGGCAGUCUAAGUUUGAGUUUAUUUUGGUUCUCUUCUUUUCUCUGAGUGAGAGAGAGAGAGUUCUUUAGCUAGUUCAUUGGUGUGAACCGGCUUGUUGAUUUGGUGGUCAGCCAAUUCAUCUUUGUGUGUUGUUUGGUAGUUAGCCAACACACUACAUUCUUUCUUGGGUGGUUAGCCUUAGAUCGUGGGUAUAUCAAGAGCCAUUCCGCAUCUCUUGACGAUCCUUUCAAUCCAUAUCAGUUCCAGAAGUGCCUAACCAAUCAAAAUUUGUAUCUUCUAUGGAAUGUAAAGUUUUUUCCAAGUUUAACCAAAUUUACACACACUAAAACAAAGUAAUAAUAAGUUUUACAACGUUUGACAGACAGAAAUAUGAAACUUUGACAAGCUUUUACCGAGUUAAAACAAACACAAAACAAAGCAAUCUCAACAAAUGCAAAAAGGAUGGAAAACUUUCGCAAAGUUUUACCGAGUUACACAAAUAUAAAUAACAAAACUUUAACCGAGUUACCAUGUUACAAAAACUUGUAUUGGUUGACAAUGAUUGAUUUUUUUUGCCACUUGUAUUGGUUGCCAAUGGUCGAUUUGUUGUUCAUUGCUUAUUUCUCGCUUUGCUCAUCCCUACGAUAUUUUUUUCCUUAUUACUUCUACCGUCUUUCUCUCCUACACCCUUAUCCACACUUUUUGUUCAUCUCUCCACUACCUAAACCACCAUCCUUCUCACUUUGUUCCAUGUCUCUACUAUAAGAGAUCAGAUAAAGUUUCAUUUUUGUUCUUUGAAAGCAACACUUCGUAGAAAAACAUAACAUCAAAUUAAGUCAUCAUCAUAAAAUUCACAAAUUAUUACUAAGUUAUACAAUCUAAAAUAUUUAAAGUUUUACCAAGUUGUACAAAGUUUUAUAGUUAUAUCAAGUUUUACUAAGUUAUACCAUUUUGGGUUCGUUUUUUCUUCUCUUUCGAUGGAUAAUUCGUGAUUUGUUAUUUCGUAAUUUUUUUUCUGGAGAAAAGUUCGAUUUGUCUUUUAUUUGGAGAUUAUAUUUUCUCAUGUGAUAAAAGGAUGAAUUAAAAUAAGAUUGAUUUGUUUCAGUGAAAAAAUAGAAAGAAUGAGUAAAACUUGAAAAUACUUAGAUGUCUAGAUUUUUAUGUCUGGAUCCAAGUUUAACGGGUGGGUAUAGUUUGGGUUUGGAUAGUCCGCCUGGUAAAUUUGUAAAUAACUAGAUUUUGUCUUGUUGGUAGGUCUUUUAAUAAUUUUCGUGAUUUAAAUAAAUAUUAAAUUAAAAAGGAAAAAAUGGUGGAGUAUCCGAGAAUUUUUUUUUUCUUCCGAGAGUAAUGGAGAAAUUUAUUCAAAGCCUAAAGGAUCCACUCGAUCUGGUAAGUGGAAUUAAUGUUUGAGUGCCUUCCGGUGGUUUUAGCGGUUCCAAAAAGAUAAAGUUCGGAUAAUUUUUAUUUUUUUUCAAAAAAAGUGUUACUAUAUGUUUCCAAUGCAACUUUACGCAUUAAAUAUACUUUUUACCCUUUUAAAUAAUCAUUAAACUUUUAUUUAAAUCAAUUUAAUUUAGUUAAUUUUACAUUAAAUAAAAACAUAUUAGUAUAUUUUACAAUUUUUUUUAAUUUGCAUGAAAUAUGUCAUGAUAACAUUUUUUGCGAAACAGAGAGAGUAAUGUUUACUCUGUUUAGUAAAUUAGCGAGCUGAGAGAUGUCAUGGCUUUCUCUAAUCUUGCUUAGAUUUGAAAUCACCACGUAGACGUUAACAAUCAUAUACUUCAUUUGUUGGAAAAAAAAAUUUGUUGUUGUUUUCACGCAUGUUAAAUAACAUAUUAAAUUUAUGACAUAAAUAUAUCAUGUCGUGGGAUUAACAUAUUGAACUAAGUAAUUAAUUCAAUUGUUUUAUUUAAAAUUCAUAAUUUUAUUAAAUAAUAAACAUGUAUAAAAAUAGAAAUAAUAUAUUUGUUAAACAAUUAUUUUUUUUCAAAAACGUCUAUGUUAAUGGAAAAAAUGAGAGAGUAUGUACUUUGAUUUACUUCUUAAAAAGGCGAUAAUAAAUUAGGUUGCUAGUCCCAAUCAAUGUGCUUUUCUAUAACUAGGAAGAAUUUGAACUUUGAACCCUUAUCUCUCGUAUCUGUUUACCAAUCUGAAUUGAUACAAGAAAUAUGCGUAAAUUAUUACUUUAUAUCUCUUUCAGUUUAGUUGUCAUUGUAUAGUAAAAUUUUUCGUUUCAAAAUAAAUAUCGUUUUAUAAUUUCAAUGCAAUUUUGUUGAGUUUAUUUUCUAAUUUAUUUUUCUAUUAGUAGACUAUGAUUACGUGUUGAGUGGAAUAAGAGGAGGCACAACAAAAUCUCAAAGCCAGUAGAACACAUAGCAAAGUUGAUUGAUAAAUUGGUGGGGAACCGGAUUACAUUCCUUGGGUAUAUUUUGAAGCCUAAGCUGCGGGUUUUGAUGUGCAUGUGGUUCGAGUUGCGGUCCACUUAAUGUUUUGCGAAUUUUGUUUUAUAUUUUUACCACUAUAAACUAGUGGGAUUAUUGUACAUAUAUUCUUUUUGUGAUGAUCAAUAAAUUUAAAAUUUCAUCAAAAAAUAUGGUUAUGUGUAUUGUUAAUGUUGUUUUUAUUUAGUAAAUAUAAUUAAUAAAUAUUUUUCUUAAUUUGUAUGCACAAAUGUAAAAUAGCAAUUAAAAUAAAAACGAAAGGAGUAUUUUUACUAGGUAACAAAACCAUUGCAUGUGCUUCAACCGCUAGUCUACCAUGAGACGUUGUAUGUGCCUUCUUCUCUUUUAUUUUUCAUGCUAUACAUUUUAUAUUUUAUAUAAUCUAAUUUACUAACUUAGAGCCAUACCGACUAAUUCUUUGGUUCACCCCCUAGGUGAAUUUAGAGGUUCACUCAACCAAUAUGAUUUAGUUAUUUUAGAUUCAAUAUCUUUAAAAAAAAACCAAAUAAUAAGAAUUUGUGAAAUUAUAUUAUGUUUUUAAAAUAAAUAAAAAAUAAUAUUAAUUAUCAAUUUUUUUAAUAUUAUUAAAUUCGUUAGCAAAAUACUAAAUUUUAAACUCUAAAUUCUAAAUUCUAACCACUAAACCCUAAACCUUUGGAUAAAUUCUAAAUCCUUGGGAAAAUCCUAAACUCUAAACCAUUAAUUUUAAACCCUAAACCAAACUUUAAACCCUUAAUCCUAAACCCUAAGGGUUUAGGCUUUAGGAUUACGGGUGUAGGGUUUAGGAUUAAGGAUUUAGAGUUUAUGGUUUAGGAUUAAGGGUUUAGGAUUUUCCCAAGAGUUCAGGGUUUAUGGUUUAGCGUUCAGUGUUUAGAAUUUAGGGUUUAGGAUUUAGUAUUAGGGUUUAGGAUUAAGGGUUUCGGAUUUAGGGUUUGGUUUAGGGUUUAAAAUUAAGGGUUUUGGAUUUGCCAAGGGUUCAAGGUUUAUCCAAAGAUUUAGGGUCUAGUGUUUAGAGUUUAAGGUUUAGAGUUUAAUAUUUUACUAAUAGGUAUAACAAUACUAAAAAAUAUUUUUAUGGUAAUUACUAUUAAUUUUUUUAUUUUAAAAACAUAAAAUAAUUUCACAAAUUUU